GGAGUGCUGGCUUAAUGGCAAAGCGACGGUCUUAUCAACCGCAGAUUACAAGUUCGAGUCUUGUGCAUUCUA